UUAAGUUCAGCGGGUAUCCCUACCUGAUCCGAGGUCAAGCGUAAAAAGGGUAGACUUUGUGGAUGCCACCGCCCCAAGGCGGAAGCGCAAAAUGUGCUGCGCUCCCACCCAGGACGGCUGGCUGCCAAUGCAUUUGAGGCGAGUUCGCGCGCGCAGCGGAACAAACGCCCCAACACCAGCAGGGCUGGAGGGUACAAAUG
rnacentral:misc_RNA from 1 species